GAUCCUGGCUCAGGAUGAACGCUGGCGGCGUGCUUAACACAUGCAGGUCGAACGGAACUACUUUAAUGAGAUUCUUCGGAAAGGAUUUGAUUUAGUUUAGUGGCGGACGGGUGAGUAACGCGUGGGUAACCUGCCUCAUACAGGGGGAUAACAGUUGGAAACGGCUGUUAAUACCGCAUAAGCGCACAGUACCGCAUGGUACCGUGUGAAAAACUCCGGUGGUAUGAGAUGGACCCGCGUCUAAUUAGCUGGUUGG
rnacentral:rRNA from 1 species